GAGGAUGACUCGAUGUGUAAGCUGCGUUAUGUACAUGAUCCUGGAGGGGGUAUCUGGUAUUUAAGGAAUUGGUCCAAGUCACUUACCUGCUCCACAAGGAACAAGCUUUGCUUCACCAUUAGCAUGAGCUGUCUGAAUUGCAUGGCGGCUAUGUUUAAACUGAAGAUUUGACUGCAACAUUUUCACCUCCUGAACAUGGAAACCAUCUGGUAAAAAUGAGAUGUGCUGACACCUACAGUAGAUAUGGAGAAAUGCAAGUCACUGAAAGUCUGAUCCUUAACAGACUCACAGGUAUAACCCUGCAACCUCCACUUCAUGAAACUAAAAUGCUACAAAGAAAGAACAGAUACAAGGAAAUACUUUACCAAGCAACUUUUGUUUGAUCUGUGGAACUCUGUGCCUCAUGACACUGCUAAACCAAAUAGCUCAGUAAAGCCUUAUCUAUACCAAUUUCAUUUGAAAAGAGAUCUAAUUAUAUUGGUGCAAACACCUAAUGUAGACAACUUAUAGUAAAUCAAAUAAGCAAGAGUUAAAAAGUUUAAAUAUGCACAAUUUGCAUCAGUUAGCUAUCCUUGGAGACUAGGCAUCCUCCACUUACAUUGACAGACUAUUCCACAAUCUAAUACAAACAACUUCCUGGUUAGGAGCUGUAUCACAUAUCCCCAGAAUAAAACCAGGAGUAAUGUAAUUAAAUUAAGAAAAGGACAAAUCAUAUUCCUUAUUUUAAACAUCUCUUAUGUUGUAAGGUACAGAGCGAGUGAGGAAAGGUCUUCACCAAAAUCCAUGACUCAUUCAUCGUGCAUUUUGUAACUAAAAUUAUUUUCCUGGACUGUCUGGCAUACACAGACUGGAACACAGUACCAGAAGAUACACAUACUAUGUAUCUAAGAUUGUAAGUAAAAACUGUAGUAUAUUAUAUUAUUCCUGAGUGAAUUCCAUGCCAAAAAAAAAAUAAAGAAUUCUGCACACAAUAUUUUAAAAUUCUGCAAAUUUUGUCAAUAAAUAAAUGUAGAGUCUCCCACAUAAAAUGUGAUCAUCCAAGACUGUAUCAGAAUGCCGCUGCACAAAAAGGCAAAAUUAAGGUAGCAUGGCCAACCUUAAUUUUCGCAUUUCCGAACGUUUGAGAGUUUAUGGUCUUUUAAAGUAUUUUUUUUUAAUGAAAUUUCUUAGAGUUUGUAAAAAGAAAACUGAAGAAACAGAAAUUUUAUCAUAUAGAAUCAUACUGAUCCCUGCAUGGGCAAUCAUCAGGUUCUGAACCCAGGACAUUUAAAUCCACAGUACAGACCUCUGCCAGUUAAAUUAAAAGGUGCAACUGAUA